rnacentral:ncRNA from 1 species
AAUUGAAAAAAGGCAGGUAAAAGACGGCUACCCACAAUUUUUCGUGGACAUAAAAAUUCCAACCUUUAACUAGCACACCACCCCAACCCCCAUCACCAUACCUGUAAAACGACCUAAAACUUGGACUGCUCCAAGACACUCAACGUAAUACAGUACAAACCAAUUUCCUUCCAGACAGGAUCAGGGUGUGUGCUCAGGUCGGGGCACAAGUGGGCGGGCCUCCCCGUGGUCCCCGUGGGCGGCGCGGGCGCCCGCAGAUGCUCAACAUCAUUGUGGACGCCCACGUAGGCUAAACCGCUCACUCUCGCGAAACGUACUGCGCAAGCACUGCUGGGUUUUUUCAUCGCUCUACUCGAGGCAGUGUACCAUUUGCUAGAUAGUAGAUGGUUACGUGUGUUGGGUAUGACCUAAGGGCGAGGAACAAUGAAGAGCUCGGUUUCGUGCCGGUCACUCUUACAUUAAACUGUCCCUAUCUACUAUCUAGCAAAACCAAUGCCAAAAGAACGGGCCUGGAAAAAUUAGCGGAGAAAGAAGACAUUGUUGAGCUUGACUCUAGACUGGCAAUGUAAGGAGACAUGAGAGGUGUAGCAUAAGUGGGAGAUGGCAACAUCACCGGUGCAAUACUACUACUUUCAUCGUUUCCUUACUUACUCGGUUGGGCGGAGCGCGUGCCCCGAGGGCCUCGUGCCACGGCGGUCACGGUGUUCUAGAGCCAAGCGUGUCAGAGUGGCGAGAGGCCUCGAGCCAUCGCUGUCAAUACUCCCGCGUGAUCAGAUUCGAGGACACUGCCAGGCGGGGAGUUUGACUGGGGCGGUACAGGGUGUUGCAGAUACAUACAGCGUAGUAUACGGGUUGCAUACCCGGACACUGCCAGGGGCUGGCAGUGGCAGGCGCGAUUCAGUAGGUAAUGACAGCAUACACAUAUACCGACAAAACUUAUCGAUCGAGUGGAUCACGCGCAUUUUUCCAAUUAGGCUUGCAGCGUAUCAAUUAUGCACAAUUAUUCCUAAACUAUAAUGUAGAAAUAUUGUUGCAUUAAAUAUUACACAUUCAGCAUGGUAACAUUUUAUAUAAAGAAUUAAACGGUUUUUAAAAUAAUUGUAAAAUAUUUAUUUCUCAAAUUUAGAUUUAUAUAAUAAUUUUUGAUAAAUAUUAUUGAAAGAUUUUAUUUCGAUAAAACUGCUUUGUUCAAACGUAUCAUCUAAGCGCAAUUCAAAAUUUUCGUCAAUUUGUGACGCUAUUAUUGUAGAA